UACGAAGGGGGCUAGCGUUGCUCGGAAUUACUGGGCGUAAAGGGCGCGUAGGCGGAUGUCUAAGUUGGGGGUGAAAUCCCGGGGCUCAACCUCGGAACCGCCUUCAAUACUGGAUAUCUUGAGUUCGGGAGAGGUGAGUGGAAUGCCGAGUGUAGAGGUGAAAUUCGUAGAUAUUCGGCGGAACACCAGUGGCGAAGGCGACUCACUGGCCCGAUACUGACGCUGAUGCGCGAAAGCGUGGGGAGCAAACAGG
rnacentral:rRNA from 1 species